rnacentral:rRNA from 1 species
CCAGCCUCAGCCAGGCAUGACUACCCGCUGAACUUAAGCAUAUCAUUAAGCGGAGGAAAAGAAACCAACCGGGAUUCCCGUAGUAAUGGCGAAUGAAUUGGGAAUAGUCCAUCGCUGAAUCGUAGUUAAACUACGAACUGUGGCGUUAGCGGUGUUAUUAGGAAAUGUAUACGGUACCAAGUUCUAUCGAACUGGACUUCCCAGAGAAGGUGAAAGGCCUGUAGUAACUGUGUACGUUUUCCUGCAAGCAUCGUUAGAGUCGGCUUGCUUGUGAGUGCAAGCUAAAGUGGGUGGAAAGCUUCACCUAAGACUAAAUAAAUGCACGAGUUCGAUAGCGAACAAGUACCGUGAGGGAAAGUUGAAAAGAACUUUGAGAAAAGGGUUAAAAGUGCGUGAAACCGUUUAGAAGGAAGCGGAUAGAGCCUUGACGCUUUGCGUUACAGUUGGGACGCAAAGCAGCUGUAAUGAGUGUUCUAACUGGUUGCUAGUUUGAAUGUGCCCUUUUGAUGGCUGUGUAUGCUGUUUAUUGUUAGGGUAAUGAUUCUAGCAGCUUGUUGGUGAGUACUGAGGAUUAGCUUUUGGAUGAUUAACAUGCAUGGGUGUUCUAUCCGACCCGUCUUGAAACACGGACCAAGGAGAUUACCGUAUUAGCAAGUCUAAUGGAGUUAUUCCAUGCGGCGUAAUGAAAGUAACUGGAUGUGAGGGUGUUAAACCUGCAACAUACGCCCCUAAUUGUAACUACGGUUUAUUAGGGAGUGUUAGCUAAUGCGUUAAGACCCGAAAGAUGGCGAACUAUACCUGGUUAAGAUGAAGCCAGUGGAAACACUGGUGGAGGUCUAUCGCGGUUCUGACGUGCAAAUCGAUUGUCGAAGCUGGGUAUAGGGGCGAAAUACUAAUCGAGCCAUCUAGUAGCUGGUUCUCUCCGAAAUUUUCUCAGGAUAGCUGUGUUCGUAAAAAGUUCAUAUUUUAAAGCGAAUGAUUAGAGAUCUGUGCUCAGAUUGGGUGCAUACUAUUCUCAAACUUUAAACACGUGAGAUAUGUGGCUCACUUGAUUGGAGGCACAUAUAGAAUUAGAGUACCAAGUGGGCCAAUUAUGGUAAUCAUGACUGGCGCUGUGGGAUGAACCAAACGUCUAGUUAAGGUGCCUGACUAGACGCACACAGGAUACCAUGAAAAGUGUCAGUUGAUUAUGACAACUGGAAGGUGACCAUAGAAGUCGGAAUCCUCUAAGGAGUGUGUAAUAACUCACCUGUCGAAUUAACUGGCCUUGAAAAUGGAUGGCGCUGUAGCGUUUGACCUAUACUAGGCCGUUGUAGCAGUUUGACUGGCUUUGGCUAGUGAGAAAAGAUAGGCUACGACGAGUAGGAGAGACGUGGCGGUAGCAUGGAAGCCAAGCAUGUGAAUGCUGGUAGAGCUGUUCGCUAGUGCAGAUCUUGGUGGUAGUAGCAAUUACUCAAAUGAGAACUUUGAGGGCCUAUGUGGAGAAGGGUUUCAUGUGAACAUGAGUUGUACAUGAGUUAGUCGGUCCUAAGCACGUUGUCAAGUCAUUUGAAAUGGCUAGUGUAGCCUGUGUGCGAAAGGGAAUGGGGUUAAUAUUCCCGAACCUAAGAAGGCUGUUUAUGCGGCGACGCUGUUGUAACAGUCUAGGACGGCAGGUGUUCUGGGAAGAGUUAUCUUUUCUUCUAAAGGGUCGGUUUCUCUUGAAAUGGUUUAGCCAGCGAAAGAGAAGUUGUUGAUCAUUACGAUCAUAUCCGCAGAGCAUUGCAGUUUUUGCUGUGUCCAGUGUACACCUGACGUUUCAUAAAACGCCUGUUACAGUUUAACAGUCACUUGGGCCGUACCAAUAACCGCAGCAGGUCUCCAAGGUUAGCAGCCUCUGGUCAAUAGAUAAACGCUGAUAAGGGAAGUCGGCAAACUAGAUCUGUACCUUCGGUAGAAGGAUUGGCUCUAUGGGUUGAGUCUUUACUGCUGUUUGUUUGAUUGCUGCGUAAGUGGUAGUUGAGCAUUGAGUGGUAGGACAGUGAACAACCAAAGUAGAACUGGCACGGAGAAGGGGAAUCUGACUGUGUAAUAACAACAAAGCAGUGCGAUAGCCGUAAACGGUUUUGACGCAGUGUGAUUUCUGCCCAGUGCCCUGAAUGUCAGCGUGAAGAGAUUCACUUAAGCACGGGUAAACGGCGGAGUAACUACGACUCUCUUAAGGUAGCCAAAUGCCUCGUAAUUUAAUUGAUGACGCGCAUGAAUGGAUUAACGAGAUUCCCACUGUCCCUAUCAGCACUCUAGCGAAACCACAGACAGGGUAACGGGCCCGUGACAAUCAGCGGGGAAAGAAGACCCUGUUGAGCUUGGACUCUAGAUUGGCAUUGUAGGAGGACAUUGGGGAUAUAGUAAUAGGUGGGAGCUGUUCCGCAGCGACAAUGUAAGACCACUUCCUCAGUCGUCUUCCUACUAAUUCAGUAAUACCGUGCUUCCUUAAUGGGAAAGUUUGCAGUGAUCGGAUCUUUAAGGCCCGUUCGGGGUCGAUCGGAUCUGAAAACAGUGUCAUUUGGGGAGUUUGGCUGGGGCGGUACAUCUGCUAAACAAUAACGCAGAUGUCCAAAGGUGAGCUCAGGUGAACAGAAAUCUACCAUAGCGCGAAAGGGUAAAAGCUCGCCUUAUUUGCAUGUUCAGUACGUAUGCAAGGCGCAAAAGCGUGGCCUAUCGAUCCUUUUACUUUUAUAAGCUUUAAGUUAAAGGUGACAGAAAAGUUACCACAGGGAUAAUUGGCUUGUGGCACCCAAGCGUACAUAGCGACGGUGCUUUUUGAUCCUUCGAUGUUGGCUCUUCCUAUCAUUGCGAAGCAUAAAUCGCAAAGUGUAGGAUUCUUCACCCACUAACAGGAACGUGAGCUGAGUUUAGACCAUCGUGAGAUAGGUUAGUUUUUACCCUACUGAUUGAGUGUCGUUGCCACAGUAAUUCUGCAAAUUACGUAAGGAACUGCAGAGUCAGACAUUUGGUUCAUGCACUUGACUGGAAAGUCAGUGGUGCGAAGCUAUCGUCUGAAGAUAAUAACUGAACGCCUCUAAGUUAAAAUCUUGACUGGCUGCAACGAUAUUGUUCGAAGCUCUUGUAUAGCAAAUUUAUGCUUUUAUGCUGCUACUGGCUUGGUGUCGUUGAUAACACUAAAAACUGUUGUUACACCGGUUAACUUGCAUUUUCACUGAGCUUUGUGCUAAAUUAUAUGCAAACGACAUAUACUGGCAUGGGAACUGUACAUACGAAAGCCACGUAUAAUGGCGAUCUACUGAGGUCCAUCCCUUUGCCUAAAAUUUGU